rnacentral:rRNA from 1 species
GAGGAAUAUUGGUCAAUGGACGCAAGUCUGAACCAGCCAUGCCGCGUGAAGGAUGAAGGCGUUCUGCGUUGUAAACUUCUUUUAUCAGGGAAGAAACCUCAGUAUUCUUAUUGAGCCGACGGUACCUGAUGAAUAAGCACCGGCUAACUCCGUGCCAGCAGCCGCGGUAAUACGGAGGGUGCAAGCGUUAUCCGGAUUCACUGGGUUUAAAGGGUGUGUAGGCGGGCUUUUAAGUCAGUGGUGAAAUCUCUGAGCUCAACUCAGAAACUGCCAUUGAUACUAUUAGUCUUGAAUAUUGUUGAGGUAGGCGGAAUAUGUCAUGUAGCGGUGAAAUGCUUAGAUAUGACAUAGAACACCGAUUGCGAAGGCAGCUUGCUAAACAAUUAUUGACGCUGAGGCACGAAAGCGUGGGGAUCAAAC